rnacentral:lncRNA from 1 species
AUAUAUUUUUCUUUCUGUUUGUGUCCAUUUAUGUAAAAUUUCAGAAAAAAUGAGGAUAUCGGUCCAUAUUUGUUAAUUAAAGAAGAAUUGACUUGUUUCAUAUCAAGUGUUGAGCGUAACAACGCAGAAAUAAAGGUAUAAUUUUGUAACUAAACAGAAUAUAUAUACGUACGUACAUACACGUGUAUAUAUAUAUAUAUAUAUAUAUAUACAUAUUUAUAGGUCUAUGUGUACGAAAUUAUCAUUUUUUUUUUUUUUUUUUUUUUUUUUUUUUCGAUUUUAGGGAGAAAUAAUAUUAAAAUGUGGGAACCAGGAAUAUUUAGAUGUUGAUAUGACUGUCGAAUUAGAUAAAGAAUGUUGUGACAUUUAUGCAACUCAUUUUGCAAAUAUAAAAAAAAGGAAUAAUAAUUUGAAUAUUAAAUUUUCUUGUACACAUGAAAUCAGUAAAAUUGUAACCUACUACUAUAAAAAUAUGAUAUGUCCCUUUGUUGGUACUUAUAAUUUUAAAAAAAUUAACGAAAAGCAAUCAGAAAUUUGUGUAACUUUAAAAAGGAAUUACAAAAUACCUAAUAUAAAAAUAGGGAAAAAAUCAAAUGACUAUUUUUUUUUAAAAUUACCAUUCCCUACUGAAGUUGUUAACUCCAAUUUAAAAUGCGACAUUGGAAAGAUAGAGUUUGAUAAUAAGAAGGAAAUAAAAUGGCUAUUAAACGACUUUACAAAAGAGCAAGCAAUAUUGUCUGGGCUUAUAGAAUUUAGUAACAUGGAACAAUUUCCGGGGCAGCUAGCUGGAUAUAUUAAUAUUUUUUACAAAUCAAAUUACUCUAAAACUAAAAUUACUCAUAUAAAUAAAAAAGUUGUACCUAACUAUUAUUUUCAAUCAAAACAAAUAAAGAUAAUAAGUUCCUAACAAUUUAUAAAUUUCCUCAUUUUGCUGAUUUUUAUAUGUCUGUUAAAGUUUUUUAAAAAGUGAUUUAAAUAAACGUCCUAUAUGAAAAAAAAAAAAAAAAAAA